GAUGAAGAACGUAGCGAAAUGCGAUAAGUAAUGUGAAUUGCAGAAUUCAGUGAAUCAUCGAAUCUUUGAACGCACAUUGCGCCCGCCAGUAUUCUGGCGGGCAUGCCUGUCUGAGCGUCAUUUCAACCCUCAUGCCCCUAGGGCGUGGUGUUGGGGAUCGGCCAAAGCCCGCGAGGGACGGCCGGCCCCUAAAUCUAGUGGCGGACCCGUCGUGGCCUCCUCUGCGAAGUAGUGAUAUUCCGCAUCGGAGAGCGAUAAGCCCCUGCCGUUAAACCCCCAACUUUCCAAGGUUGACCUCAGAUCAGGUAGGAAUACCCGCUGAACUUAAGCAUAUCAAUAAGCGGAGGA
rnacentral:misc_RNA from 1 species